GACUUAAUACUUUAAGCAUAAAAGAUUUGAUUUGCAUUCAAAAAAUGGACUAAUUUAGUUCUUAGGUCACCA
rnacentral:tRNA from 1 species